UUGCUUAUUUUGGCAGCACAUAUACUGAAAUUGUAGCAAUACAGAGAUCAGCAUGGCCUGUAUGUAAAGAUGACACACAAAUCCAUGAGGCACUCAACCUAAGG
ensembl:snRNA U6 U6 spliceosomal RNA